rnacentral:rRNA from 1 species
CCGGUUGAUCCUGCCGGACCUGACUGCUAUCGGAUUGAUACUAAGCCAUGCGAGUCAUUGUAGCAAUACAAGGCAGACGGCUCAGUAACGCGUAGUCAACCUGGCCUAUGGACGGGAAUAACCUCGGGAAACUGAGAAUAAUGCCCGAUAGAACACUAUACCUGGAAUGGUUUGUGUUCCAAAUGAUUUAUCGCCGUAGGAUGGGACUGCGGCCUAUCAGUUUGUUGGUGAGGUAAUGGCCCACCAAGACUAUUACAGGUACGGGCUCUGAGAGGAGUAGCCCGGAGAUGGGUACUGAGACACGGACCCAGGCCCUAUGGGGCGCAGCAGGCGAGAAAACUUUGCAAUGUGCGAAAGCACGACAAGGUUAAUCCGAGUGAUUUGUGCUAAACGAAUCUUUUGUU